GUAGGGAAUAUUGGGCAAUGGAGGCAACUCUGACCCAGCCAUGCCGCGUGCAGGAUGACGGCCCUCUGGGUUGUAAACUGCUUUUAUACGGGAAGAAAAAAUACUACGUGUAGUAUACUGACGGUACCGUAAGAAUAAGGAUCGGCUAACUCCGUGCCAGCAGCCGCGGUAAUACGGAGGAUCCAAGCGUUGUCCGGAUUUAUUGGGUUUAAAGGGUGCGUAGGCGGAUUUUUAAGUAAGUGGUGAAAGCCUGCAGCUUAACUAUAGAAUUGCCAUUGAAACUGAAGAUCUUGAAUGUGGUUAAAGUAGGCGGAAUGUAUCAUGUAGCGGUGAAAUGCUUAGAUAUGAUACAGAACACCGAUAGCGAAGGCAGCUUGCUGAACCAUUAUUGACGCUGAGGCACGAAAGCGUGGGGAGCGAACAGGAUUAGAUACCCGGGUAGUCC
rnacentral:rRNA from 1 species